UAGGGAAUCUUCCGCAAUGGACGAAAGUCUGACGGAGCAACGCCGCGUGAGCGAAGAAGGUCUUCGGAUCGUAAAGCUCUGUUGUCAGGGAAGAACAAGUACCGUUCGAACAGGGCGGUACCUUGACGGUACCUGACGAGGAAGCCACGGCUAACUACGUGCCAGCAGCCGCGGUAAUACGUAGGUGGCAAGCGUUGUCCGGAAUUAUUGGGCGUAAAGCGCGCGCAGGCGGUUCCUUAAGUCUGAUGUGAAAUCUCGCGGCUCAACCGCGGGCGGCCAUUGGAAACUGGGGAACUUGAGUGCAGGAGAGGGGAGCGGAAUUCCACGUGUAGCGGUGAAAUGCGUAGAGAUGUGGAGGAACACCAGUGGCGAAGGCGGCUCUCUGGUCUGUAACUGACGCUGAGGCGCGAAAGCGUGGGGAGCAAACAGG
rnacentral:rRNA from 1 species